AUGAUUUUUAAACUUAUUGAAAUUAUGAUCAAGCAACAUUUUACAUGUUUAUAUUUAUGAGAUUAGUAUAGUUAUUGCAAUAAGAACUCUACAUGGUAAAGCAACAGUAUUAUAUGUAUUUUAUUGUGAUGUUAUAUAAGUUUUAUAUGAAGAAUUGCUAUUGUACCACACUGAACAAACUCGCUGUUGGCGGUAAAAUAUAUUAAAACUAAGAUGUUUGAUGUCAAGAUUUUGACAAAAAAGAUCAGGUUAAAUUGGAAGUUAGAUUUUUAAUUGAAAAUGAUAAUUUAUAUCGUUUCUGUUUUUUCCUAUGUUUUGUUUUUUCAAUUGGGCUGUAACAUAUUCUUCACUGUGUUCCAUAUAAAUUAUAUUUUUGGUACAAAUUUGUAACUUUUUGAAAUGAAAUUCUACUAAUUAAAACAUUUCUUAUGCACAAUAAAAUAAAAGCUCUUACUAAUACUAUUAAGAAAUCAUGUUGAAAUAUAGAUUUCUUGUAUAUUAAGACUUUUCAGAUGGCAUUCUAGAAAUUUUUGAACUAGUCAAACAUUUAAAUUAGAUUUUCAUUGAAAGUUAGAAUUAGAUAUAUAUAUAUAUAUGCUCUAUUUUUGAGUUUAGAUUUGUAUCAUGGUACAAAAGGGUAAAGAAAUUAAUGUCCUGAUAAAAUUUAAUGAUGUGAACCCCAUCAUAUUAUUCAUAAAAAAAAGGACCAGUAAUGUAGGUGAAAUUUGAGGAUAUCAUUUAAAAAGUAUUAUAUGUCCAUGUCAUAUUUGUAUAUGCAUAUAUAGAUUUUAGUUAUCAAAUUAUCAUCUUUUGAUGCAUCUAUCCAUGUCAUAUUUUUAUAUGCAUUAGAUUUAAGAUUUCUGGUUAUUAUCUUGAAUUAUGUUUAAUGCAAAUCUUUAUUUUUAAUGAUUAGAUUAGAGAUAUUAAUUUAAUAUUUGGUUACAUUAAAUUUACAUAUUCAUAUUUUAUGUCUUGAUGACUAGUACUUCAUGGUUACUGAAUGCUAUUCCCUCUACAAAGUGAAAGCUAUGACGCAAACCUAAGAUCACUUGGUCUACAAGAAUUCAUGAGAUCUAGAUUUAGUGUAUAAUAAGGGCUGUUCAAUUCAAACAUAUUAUAAGGUAGUAAAAAAGACAUUUUUAAUGGUCAAGAAAAAGGUAAAAUCACAAAAAUACUGAACUCUGAGGAAAAUUCAAUUGGAAAGCCCCUAAUCAAAUGGCAAAAUCAAAUGACAAAACACAUUAAACAAAUGGACAACUGUCAUAUUCCUGACUUGGUACAGACAUUUUCAAGACAACCCCCAUGGUUUAAUGGUAGCAUGUGUGGGAGGAUUUUGACUAAAUUCCUGAAUAGGUCAAAGCAGACUUUAAAAUUGCAAGUAACUUUAAAAAAGAUUUUAGGUCUGACAUGCACCAUUUUAGAUUAAGAGCACAAAAAUUUCAGUUCUGAGUCUGAAUAAUGUUUCUGAAUGGAAUGAUGCUUUUUUGCAGACUAUCGCCUUUUUAACUUGAUUUAACUAUUUUCAUCAGCUUGUCAAUUUAGUACAAAAAUUAGAUAUAUUGACAUCUUGUAAAGAAGUUAUGAAUGGUCUAAUCCACUAGAACUGUAGUGUAUAGUUGUCUCCCUUACAAUCAUUCUGCUUCUCCAUAGUUUUAUAUCUUAGUUUGCUGAUGAAAUCCAAAAUUUGCACAACUAAUUCGGUAAUAAGUUAGUUACAUCCUGGUACUUUAGUGAUCACAGGAUCAGUUUUGAAGGGCGUUUUCCGUCUGCUCCAUUUAGGAGGGCCUUUACUGUCGGCCAGUAUAGGAGGAACUUUUCUGUGUUGUCUGUUUGGGAGAGUUGUUUCUAUCUGCUUUGCCUGUUUUUAUGGAACAGCCCACAUAACAUUGUAUUUACUUGUUUUUUAUGGAACAGCCGACAUAACAUUGUAUUUACUUGUUUUUUUAUGGAACAGCCGACAUAACAUUGUAUUUACUUGUUUUUUAUGGAACAGCCGACAUAACAUUGUAUUUACUUGUUUUUUUAUGAACAGCCGACAUAACAUUGUAUUUACUUGUUUUUUAUGGAACAGCCG
rnacentral:lncRNA from 1 species